AUAAUUAAAUAAAUAAUUAAUUAAUCUUUUGUUUUAAAUCAUCAGUAUGGUAGGCAAGCGCUUGACACAAUUCUGAAGCAAAUAGUAGGACACGAUGAGGGAUUAAUUCCUUUUCCAGAUGAUAAGUUCCAUGAAAAGGUUAAAGAAGGCCUAGCUGGAGUUGGAAUGCUAUCAACAAUGAGCAGCUAUAGGCGACCAACUUAUACAGUUGAAAAAGGCUGUAGUGAGGUUUCAGUAUUUUUGAACCGGAUUCUCGGACUUGAAGUUGAGCUACAAAACCAACUAUUUCAGCACUUUAUGGACACGUUGGAUGCGAUCAUUGACAAUGUAAAAAGAGAUGGCAAAUGGGAUAUGGGAA